rnacentral:rRNA from 1 species
CACGCAGGCGGAUUGAUAAGUCAGGGGUGAAAUCCCGGGGCUCAACCUCGGAAUUGCCUUUGAUACUGUCUGUCUUGAGUUCGGGAGAGGUUGGCGGAAUUCCUAGUGUAGAGGUGAAAUUCGUAGAUAUUAGGAAGAACACCAGUGGCGAAGGCGGCCAACUGGCUCGAUACUGACGCUCAUGUGCGAAAGCGUGGGGAGCAAACAGGAUUAGAUACCCUGGUAGUCCACGCCGUAAACUAUGGAUGCUAGCCGUUGGGGAGCUUGCUCUUCAGUGGCGCAGCUAACGUCUUAAGCAUCCCGCCUGGGGAGUACGGUCGCAAGAUUAAA